rnacentral:rRNA from 1 species
GCAGCCGCCGCGGUAAUACAGAGGGUGCGAGCGUUAAUCGGAUUUACUGGGCGUAAAGCGUGCGUAGGCGGCUUUUUAAGUCGGAUGUGAAAUCCCUGAGCUUAACUUAGAAAUUGCAUUCGAUACUGGGAAGCUAGAGUAUGGGAGAGGAUGGUAGAAUUCCAGGUGUAGCGGUGAAAUGCGUAGAGAUCUGGAGGAAUACCGAUGGCGAAGGCAGCCAUCUGGCCUAAUACUGACGCUGAGGUACGAAAGCAUGGGGAGCAAACAGGAUUAGAUACCCGUGUAGUCCCUGUCUCUUAUAC